AUACUCUGGUUUCUCUUCAGAUUGUACAAAUCUUUCACCUUUUACUAAAGAUUUCCAUGGAGAGAAACAACUCUUAAGUUUUUACCCAAUUUUUUGAGGCCUUCCAUUUGCAGGGCU